CGCCUCUUGAAGACUAUAAGAGGUCCAGCCUGCCCAGUGACCCUGUUUAACGGCCGCGGUAUCCUAACCGUGCGAAGGUAGCGUAAUCACUUGUUCUUUAAUUGUGGACUAGUAUGAAUGGCACCACGAAGGCUACACUGUCUCCUCUUUCCAAUCAGUGAAACUAAUCUCCCCGUGAAGAAGCGAGGAUAAUAAUAUAAGACGAGAAGACCCUAUGGAGCUUUAAACAAUAUAACAAUUAUUAAACAGUAUUUAGGCUUCUGAGCCCGUAAAUCACCUAAAUAAUAUGUCUAUAAGUUUUUGGUUGGGGUGACCACGGAGCAUAACAAAACCUCCAUGCUGAAAGAAUUUUUAAGCUAAGAAUCACCUGUCUAAGCAUCAAUAUAUUGACAUCCAUUGACCCAAUACAUUUGAUCAACGAACCAAGUUACCCUAGGGAUAACAGCGCAAUCCACUUCAAGAGCUCAUAUCGACAAGUGGGUUUACGACCUCGAUGUUGGAUCAGGGUAUCCCAGUGGUGCAGCCGCUACUAAAGGUUCGUUUGUUCAACGAUUAAAACCCUACG
rnacentral:rRNA from 1 species